AUUGAACGCUGGCGGCAGGCCUAACACACGCAAGUCGAGCGGAUGAAGGGAGCUUGCUCCUGGUUUCAGCGGCGGACGGGUGAGUAAUGCCUAGGAAUCUGCCUGGUAGUGGGGGAUAACGUCCGGAAACGGGCGCUAAUACCGCAUACGUCCUGAGGGAGAAAGUGGGGGAUCUUCGGACCUCACGCUAUCAGAUGAGCCUAGGUCGGAUUAGCUAGUUGGUGGGGUAAAGGCCUACCAAGGCGACGAUCCGUAACUGGUCUGAGAGGAUGAUCAGUCACACUGGAACUGAGACACGGUCCAGACUCCUACGGGAGGCAGCAGUGGGGAAUAUUGGACAAUGGGCGAAAGCCUGAUCCAGCCAUGCCGCGUGUGUGAAGAAGGUCUUCGGAUUGUAAAGCACUUUAAGUUGGGAGGAAGGGCAGUAAGUUAAUACCUUGCUGUUUUGACGUUACCAACAGAAUAAGCACCGGCUAACUUCGUG
rnacentral:rRNA from 1 species